AGCUGAGUUUGAUCCUGGCUCAGGAUGAACGCUAGCGGCAGACCUAAUACAUGCAAGUCGAACGGUGAUAGCAAUAUCAUAGUGGCGCACGGGUGCGUAACACAUAUGCAACCUACCUAUUAUUGGGGGAUAGCCUUUGGAAACGGAGAUUAAUACCGCAUAAUACGAUUGACUGGCAUCGGUUGAUUGUUAAAGCUUUGGCGAUAAUAGAUGGGCAUGCGUCCAAUUAGUUAGUUGGUUAGGUAACGACUGACCAAGACGAUGAUUGGUAGGGGAUCUGAGAGGAUAACUCCCCCACACUGGGAACUGAGACACGGUCCAGACUCCUACGGGAGCAGCAGUGGGGAAUUUUGGACAAUGGGGCGCAAGCCUGAUCCCAGCAAUGCCGCGUGCAGGAUGAAGGCCUUCGGUUGUAAACUGCUUUGUAC
rnacentral:rRNA from 1 species